rnacentral:SRP_RNA from 1 species
UCCAUGCAUGGUGGCACAUUCCUGUAGUACUAGCUACUCGGGAGGCUGAAGUGGGAGAAUCUAUUGAGCCCAGGAAUUCUGGGCUAUAGUGCGCAAUCUCAAUAGGGUGUCCGCACUAAGUUCGGCAUUAAUAUAGUGACCUCCGAGGAGCUGGGGACCACCAGGUUGUCUAAGGAUGGGUGAACCAGCCGGAUAGGAAACAAAGCAGGUCAAAUCUCCCAUACUGAUUAGUAGUGGGAUCACGCCUGUGAAUAGCCACUGCACUCUAUCCUGGGCAACAAAGCGAGAGACACCCCGUCC